GGAGGGUGCGAGCGUUAAUCGGAAUUACUGGGCGUAAAGCGCGCGUAGGCGGCUUGGUCAGUCGGAUGUGAAAGCCCCGGGCUUAACCUGGGAAUUGCAUUCGAUACUGCCAGACUAGAGUAUGGGAGAGGGAAGCGGAAUUUCCGGUGUAGCGGUGAAAUGCGUAGAUAUCGGAAGGAACACCAGUGGCGAAGGCGGCUUCCUGGCCCAAUACUGACGCUGAGGUGCGAAAGCGUGGGGAGCGAACAGGGAUUAGAUACCCUGGUAGUCCACGCCGUAAACGAUGGGAACUAGAUGUCGGGAGGAUUUGCCUCUCGGUGUCGCAGCUAACGCGUUAAGUUCUCCGCCUGGGGAGUACGCCGGCAACGGUA
rnacentral:rRNA from 1 species